AUUGAACGCUGGCGGCAGGCCUAACACAUGCAAGUCGAACGGUAACAGGAAGAAGCUUGCUUCUUUGCUGACGAGUGGCGGGCGUGUGAGUAAUGUCUGGGACACUGCCUGAUGGAGGGGGAUACCUACUGGAACCGGUAGCUAAUACCGCAUAACGUCGCAAGACCAAAGAGGGGGACCUUCGGGCCUCUUGCCAUCGGCUGUGCCCAGAUGGGAUUAGCUAGUAGGUGGGGUAACGGCUCACCUAGGCGACGAUCCCUAGCUGGUCUGAGAGGAUGAACAGCCACACUGGAACUGAGACACGGUCCAGACUCCUACGGGAGGCAGCAGUGGGGAAUAUUGCACAAUGGGCGCAAGCCUGAUGCAGCCAUGCCGCGUGUAUGAAGAAGGCCUUCGGGUUGUAAAGUACUUUCAGCGGGGAGGAAGGGAGUAAAGUUAAUACCUUUGCUCAUUGACGUUACCCGCAGAAGAAGCACCGGCUAACUCCGUG
rnacentral:rRNA from 1 species